AAUCUUCCCGUUUAACGGGAAGACAUGGUACGAAUACUUUCAGACUAGAGGCCGGGAGGGGGGCUGGGAACUUUCUAGGUAGGAGUAAAAUCCUUUAAUCCGGAAAAGACCACCAGUGGCGAAGGCGCAGCCCCAGAACGGACCUGACGGUGAGGGACGAAGGCUAGGAUAACGAACCGGAUUAGAUACCCCCGUAGUCC
rnacentral:rRNA from 1 species